UUCAGUGUGCAAACAGCAGGUGGAACUUGGAGCUCCGUCGAGGAUAGUAGAUAUUGAAGACGAAAGAUACCAACACUGCCAGUAGAGCAGUAAGUGAUCAGAAGAUCUAGAGGCGAAGGCGAAGAGAAAUAAGAUGGCGUUGAUUAGGGGAGAGCCUUUGGUGACAAAGCUGGCAUAUUUAGCCAAGUACGUGGUGCUGCCGGGCUCCAUGGUUGCCGCUCUUAUUUACUCUCCUCCCAACUACGCUUCUUCCAAGAACGACAAAUCCCCCAAAUAAGUUGUCUUUCGCUUUUGCCCUUUUUGUUUUCUCCUGGAGUAUCGUAAGAUUUGCAUCCUAUGUGUGCCUCUUUGUUAUAGCGGGGUAUCUUCAAUAAUUGCUACAUAGGUAUGUAGAGAGUUGAAGGCAUUUUCUUUUGCCUUCGAAGAACUUUUGAGUUAUGAAUCUUUUGUUGUUCGCAGACUUUGUUGAAAAAUAAGACAUUGUGUAAUGAAUACAAGAUUGCCCCUACGCUGUUUGAUAAUUUGGAUUGGUAUGUUGUUAAAUGAUCAGCAAUGCUCUCUAUGUUAUCUAAUGAAGCUUGCCUCAGAUUGUUGAGCCCAUUUGAAUAUGGAAAUGUUAUAAUUGGUCA